AACGAACGCUGGCGGCAUGCCUUACACAUGCAAGUCGAACGGUAACGCGGGGCAACCUGGCGACGAGUGGCGAACGGGUGAGUAAUGUAUCGGAACGUGCCCAGUUGUGGGGGAUAACUGCUCGAAAGAGCAGCUAAUACCGCAUACGACCUGAGGGUGAAAGCGGGGGAUCGCAAGACCUCGCGCAAUUGGAGCGGCCGAUAUCAGAUUAGGUAGUUGGUGGGGUAAAGGCUCACCAAGCCAACGAUCUGUAGCUGGUCUGAGAGGACGACCAGCCACACUGGGACUGAGACACGGCCCAGACUCCUACGGGAGGCAGCAGUGGGGAAUUUUGGACAAUGGGGGCAACCCUGAUCCAGCCAUGCCGCGUGCGGGAAGAAGGCCUUCGGGUUGUAAACCGCUUUUGUCAGGGAAGAAAAGACUCCUGUUAAUACCGGGGGUUCAUGACGGUACCUGAAGAAUAAGCACCGGCUAACUACGUGCCAGCCGCCGCGGUAA
rnacentral:rRNA from 1 species